CUACUUGUUCGUCUUGAUUCUAACUCAGUUCAAAUGACUUCCGAUCACUAUCUACUAACGAAUGGCUCUUGAUGCUUACACGGUGUGUCACGACCACUUCCAAUAAGGCGUGUCGUCAUAGUAGCCAUCGAAGUUUGCACGAACGUUGAUUAUUGCAGGUCGAUCCUAGGAAUUACCUGCAGGAGGUGAAAGGGCGUAAAAUUGCUUUACGAGUUGUGUAAUUAAUCAAUCGAAGCAAGCACGGUGUAUAAAGCGCUAGUUUGCCCUUCAACGACAAAGAUAGAUCGACCGCGGCCUUGUGGAUUGGAGACGACGAAAGUAACACCACAACAACACGUGGGAAGUUGCUAUCGCAAAGUCUGCUGAAGGAUAUUGAAAGUAGUACACAGGAGGACCACCAUCGGUGACGUCAAUAGUGACGAACGUAUCGAAAGCAACAUUUGCGAAUUCUAAUGAGAUAUGGCUCGAAAACGGAAGAAAGCAAUAAGAAGGUCAUUGACAUUGGAGACCACUAAGGUGUUCGGGAGUUGGCGUAGAACGAGAAUAUGUAAUGAUGAAAAAUUGAAUGAAGCAACACAACAUACAGCAACAGAGAUCCCAAUCACUAUAUAACAAGGACAAAAGGAUGUAUGAAGUAGUGGUCCUACCGAUUCCGAUUCCGUGUUCGGAAUCAAUUCCAGAAUCGAAAUCGGCUUCGGAAUCGAAACGGACCGGGGAAUCGC